GACAGAGGGUGCAAACGUUGUUCGGAAUUACUGGGCGUAAAGCGAGUGUAGGCGGUGUGGUAAGUCGGAUGUGAAAGCCCCCGGGCUCAACCCGGGAAGUGCACUCGAUACUGCCACGCUAGAGUAUCGGAGAGGUUGGUGGAAUUCUCGGUGUAGAGGUGAAAUUCGUAGAUAUCGAGAGGAACACCGGUGGCGAAGGCGGCCAACUGGACGAAUACUGACGCUGAGACUCGAAAGCGUGGGGAGCAAACAGG
rnacentral:rRNA from 1 species